rnacentral:rRNA from 1 species
AUUGAACGCUGGCGGCAGGCCUAACACAUGCAAGUCGAGCGAGCGGCGGACGGGUGAGUAAUGUAUGGGGAUCUGCCCGAUGGAGGGGGAUAACUACUGGAAACGGUAGCUAAUACCGCAUACCAUCAGAUGAACCCAUAUGGGAUUAGCUUGUAGGUGGGGUAACGGCUCACCUAGGCGACGAUCCCUAGCUGGUCUGAGAGGAUGAUCAGCGACACUGAGACUGAGACACGGGCCAGACUCCUACGGGAGGCAGCAGUGGGGAAUAUUGCACAAGGGGCGCAAGCCUGAUACAGCCAUGCCGCGUGUAUGAAGAAGGCCUUCGGGUUGUAAAGUACUUUCAGCGGGGAGGCGUUAACCGCAGAAGAAGCACCGGCUAACUCCGUGCCAGCAGCCGCGGUAAUAC